rnacentral:rRNA from 1 species
AGUGGCGGACGGGUGAGUAACGCGUAAGAAUCUAACUUCAGGACGGGGACAACAGUGGGAAACGACUGCUAAUACCCGAUGUGCCGCGAGGUGAAACCUAAUUGGCCUGAAGAAGAGCUUGCGUCUGAUUAGCUAGUUGGUGGGGUAAGAGCCUACCAAGGCGACGAUCAGUAGCUGGUCUGAGAGGAUGAGCAGCCACACUGGGACUGAGACACGGCCCAGACUCCUACGGGAGGCAGCAGUGGGGAAUUUUCCGCAAUGGGCGAAAGCCUGACGGAGCAACGCCGCGUGAGGGAGGAAGGUCUUUGGAUUGUAAACCUCUUUUCUCAAGGAAGAAGUUCUGACGGUACUUGAGGAAUCAGCCUCGACUAACUCCGUGCCAGCAGCCGCGGUAAUACGGGGGAGGCAAGCGUUAUCCGGAAUUAUUGGGCGUAAAGCGUCCGCAGGUGGUCAGCCAAGUCUGCCGUCAAAUCAGGUUGCUUAACGACCUAAAGGCGGUGGAAACUGGCAGACUAGAGAGCAGUAGGGGUAGCAGGAAUUCCCAGUGUAGCGGUGAAAUGCGUAGAGAUUGGGAAGAACAUCGGUGGCGAAAGCGUGCUACUGGGCUGUAUCUGACACUCAGGGACGAAAGCUAGGGGAGCGAAAGGGAUUAGAUACCCCUGUAGUCCUAGCCGUAAACGAUGGAUACUAGGCGUGGCUU